rnacentral:lncRNA from 1 species
CAUUGAUCACCCAGCAGCCACAGCAUCAGUUCUGGGGCUGGAAUCGAGUAGUUGAUGAAGCUUUGCUCCAGAACUAUUGUUCUCAUAAACUUCACUCUCAUUGUUUGCUCUAUCCAAGGAACCAGAGUUAUUGACUCUUGCUAGUAGGUUUGCCGUGCCUACAGGUUGCAGCCUCUUAUCAUCAAUCUUACCUAAACUCACCGUUUGCUCUAUCCAAGGAACCAAAGUUAUUCACUCUUGCUAGUAGGUUUGUCGUGCCUACAGGUUGCAGCCUCUUAUCAUCAAUCUUACCUAAACUCAGCUCUUCUGUCUGGCCUAGCUGUUCAUUUUUCAGUCUCUCCUGUGCAAUCCAAAAAAUGAUUAGCAUUCCAAAAAACACUUGAGCAAAGCGACUCAACAGCAAUCAAACAGCUGGAAGAGAAUCUGAAAUGAGACAAGC